AAUAACAAUAGAUCGAUAUCUGCACUUGAGUUCCACCCUCCCCGGGACCACACUGCUCCAAACAACAGUUUUUAGAGAGCUGCAACACAAAAGAUACCGCAGUCAGCUCAAGCAAGGGGUUAUUUUUAGAUCAGAAAAAAAAAAAAAAAAAAAAGAGGAAAGGAGGGGAGGGGGGAAAAAAAAGCAGUUCUGGGUUUUGCAAUCUAAUUUGGUCCCUUUUCUUAAGGGGAAAAAAAAUCCCAUCAAUGGCAUUUUCCAUACAAUCUGAUUCCUAUUUGGCUCCUAGAAAAAGAAGCAGAGAUCUAGGGCUGAAAAUUCUGGAGUUUUAUGGCUGAUUCCAGCUAGUAGCCUUUCUUCACCAGGCUCCAACUGAAUUAAUUUGAUACUAUUUUUGAAAGUCAGUGUUUCUAAGGGAGACCUAAUGACGCACUGACGUCAAUGCAGGUCAAUAGCACACACUGCUGGAACUGGGCGUGCUACACCGAGCCAGAGCUGGAGCCUUUUCAAAUAGCCCCAACUCUGCAAAUAUCCCAGUUUUGCAGGGGUGGGGGGGCGAGAGUAGGGGGGAAGCCAGGGUUUGAGUAGCACGGAGACCCCCAACACUGCCCCCACCCAACGCCUUCGGAAUUGAUGCAUGUUUUCCUGAUGCAAAAAAAGAAAGAAGAAAAUCCACACAGAUACAAUCAGACGCACUGCAGUGCCAAAAAAAAAAAAAAUCAUACCUGUCAAAGGGACUGUAUGUGAUCCGUGCACACACACAUUUACGUUCAGAAUGCAAUGCAUAUUAUUAGGGUCUGUCUAUAAAUAGAUCCCGGGAGCGUGUGCAUGGGGACUCGGUCCCCAAGCCCGGUUUUUGAACGUGGGCGAUGAGUUCUUUGCUCUGAUCAGUUACUCGGGAGGUGCCUGGAGGUGUGGGGGUGGGCACGUGGGCGGGGGGCUGCCUCCUUCUCCUUCCCUCCGGCUCCCCCUCCUUUCCCCUCUUUUCCUCUCUCCCCCUCCCUCCUCGCUCACCUCCCCUCUCCUCGCCCUCCAUCCCUCUCUCAUUUCCUCCUCCUCUUCUUCUCCCUCCUUCAGCCUUCCCCACCCUUUCUUUCUUUCUCUCCCCCUCCCUCUCUCCUCUCCUUUUCUCCCCCUCCCUGCCUCCCCCUCCCUCUCCCUUCUCCCUCUCCCUCCAAGUCUGGCACUGAACGCGAACUGUUUUGCUUUGCUCCGGGAAGAGUGCAGACACAGAACGUGAAAUCCCGAGCUUUUUGCGUGGUGCAUUUAAAAUGCUUCCUUAUUUAUAUUACCCUCAUUCCCCCACCCCACCCACCCCCUCACCAGUCCUUCCAAAUUUCCCUAGAAAUCUAUGUAGAGCGCGCGGAGGGGAACAUUUGCACAAAAAGUGAAGGAGCUCGCCAAGGAGCGCCAGUGAUCAAGAGGAGACCAGAUGAGUUUUCAAAGCAGUCCUCAGACACCCAGGACCCACCUCAUCCUUUGCCUCGUGCUUUCUGCAAUGUUGCCGCUUACAUUCACUUUCCUCUUAACCCUUCGCCAUAA
rnacentral:lncRNA from 12 species